rnacentral:lncRNA from 1 species
UCUUUGAAGGGUUUCGUUGAUAGUUUGAUUUUUGGUAUUUGACCGAUCAAUACUUUGAUUAUUUGGAGGUAAGCGACCGGAUAUCUGUUAGUUUUUUGUAAAAUAAUUAGGAAAAUAUCUUGAUUGUGUGAAAAUCUUUAUUUUGUAGAUUUCAAAAUUAAGGGAUAAGCGUAUUAUCACACAUUUCUAAAAAAUGAGUUUCAGUUUUGAUUGAUGGGUUCUUUUAGCAAAAGAAUUUUGAGAUUUGAUAAUAUAUUCUGUAAAUUAGUGACUGGGUAAGUGUUUUAAAUUAUAAAUAUUUCUUGGUAUUCUAUUGUAUUAAUGUUCGUCAUGUCGACAUGUAUUCUGUUAUAAAAGUUAGCUUCGUUUUUGUAUUGCGCCUUCGGGUGCCUCCGCCUAUCCGCGCCUCUGUUUUGUAUUUGCGCUUCCGAGCGCCCCUAUUAUGUAAAUGCACCUUUGGGUGCCUCUGUUCUAUUUUGCGCCUUCGGGUGCCUUUAGAUCUCGCCAACGAAUCAUAUAAUAUAGUUAGCUACCUGAGACUUAAUUUUUUUUCGUUUAUUUGCUAAAAGAAGUGGUACUAUGUAAAUUUUUAGUUCCUAUUUGAUCUGAAUUUUAAAUUCUGAUAAUCUUAUUUUUUUAAAAAAAAUUUGUAAAUUAAAAACUAGUAGCUUAAAUUAUUUUUUAUAUAUAUUUAUUUGUAUACUUAAUCCAACUAAUGUGGUGUAUAGUUGCUUACUCAGGUUUUGUGAUUGUUUUGCUGGGCAGGGGCAAGACCAAGCGAACGCUAGCCGUACUUUGCUGUUCGAGGUACUUUUUGUUAUUUUUGUCUCUGUGUAGUUAGGUAUAUGUUGAUUAAUAGGUUACUUGAAUUAUCAAGAUUUAUUCAUUUCUGUUUUUUUCUUCUUCGUACAAUGUAAUUUAGCGAAUUUUGUGAUUAUCUUUUUGUCUAUUUCUUUGUUGGGUUCUGUAUCCUUGCAUAUUUACUAUUCUAACAAGUGUGCGACGUCUGUUAUGCCUUUGGUUUGGGGCGUGACAGCAUUGCAUGCUUGAGCAGCCUGAGCCUUGCUAUUUUGAUCUUAAUUUCAAAAGGAAUUGCUUCGGUUUGGCGAUUCCUCUUUUUGCUCUUCUUUCUUUUAUAUAAGUUUUCUAAUUAUUCUUAU